rnacentral:rRNA from 1 species
AACACUGACGUCGCGACGCAUAUCAAUAAGCGGAGGAAAAGAAACUAACAAGGAUUCCCCUAGUAACGGCGAGUGAAGCGGGAAGAGCUCAAAUUUGAAAUCUUAAAGGGUUUCCCUUUACGAAUUGUAGUUUAAAGAAGUGUCUUCUGUUGAGGUUUUGGUAAAAGUUCUUUGGAAUAGGACAUCAUAGAGGGUGAGAAUCCCGUAUUUGACCAUUACUUUCAACUUUGUGAUACACUUUCAAAGAGUCGGAUUGUUUGGGAAUGCAGUCCAAAAUGGGUGGUAAAUUUCAUCUAAAGCUAAAUAUUGGCGAGAGACCGAUAGCGAACAAGUACCGUGAGGGAAAGACUGAAAAGAACUUUGAAAAGAGAGUUAAACAGUACGUGAAAUUGUCAAAAGGGAAGCGUUUGACACCAGUGUUGUUUUUCUGAAAAUCAAUUAACGAACUGUUUAUGUUUUAAGUAGUUAUGACUUCAUCAGCUAAUGCUUCGUUCUUUACGAGCUUUUCUUAAUGCACUUUUCAGUUAACAAGUCAACAUCAAUUUCUUUUGUUGUAAAAGAGUCAUGCGGAAGGUGGCUUGAGCUUUUCGAUAAGUGUUUAUAGCCUCUUGCUUCUGCAGUCGGAGAGAUUGAGGUCUGCAGCGUAGAUCCUUCGGGGUUAAUGCAUUUGUGCUAAGUUAUAGCAUUUUAUAGACAACUUGUUGACUAUGAUUAGUCUUGUAGCUUACUCGCUUUAAGUUAUUUUACCUACGCUUAGGAUGUUGAUGUGAUACUGCGAGCA